rnacentral:rRNA from 1 species
CCCUUAGAUGUUCUGGGCCGCACGCGCGCUACACUGAUGCAUUCAACGAGCCUAUCCUUGACCGAGAGGUCCGGGUAAUCUUUGAAACUGCAUCGUGAUGGGGCUAGAUUAUUGCAAUUAUUAAUCUUCAACGAGGAAUGCCUAGUAAGCGUGAUUCAUCAAAUCGCGUUGAUUACGUCCCUGCCCUUUGUACACACCGCCCGUCGCUCCUACCGAUUGAGUGUGUUGGUGAGGAGUUUGGAUUGGCCUCGGAAGGUGGUUCGCCACCGUCCGUAGCUGAGAAGUUCUCCAAACCGCCCCACUUAGAGGAAGGAGAAGUCGUANCA